GAAAGUCUUGGUAAUUGUGUUUAUUAGUUAACUGUAGUCUAUGAACAUCAAUCAAGCACGGACAGUUUAAUUACGGAUAUACUUAUCUUUAAAUUUGGUCUAACUACUUGUAUGUCUUUAUUUUGAGCUAAUACUUGGAAGCAAACAUGUUGAAGAGAGUCCUAACCCUGAUGCUUGUACUCUCUGUGGCUGGCCUGACCACGGCCCAAAACAACUGGGGAGGGGCCUUCCUUGGGGGACUGCUGCUUGGUCCAUUGUUUGGACGUGCUUUCGGUGGCGGAAGGAGGACGCAAUAUGUCCCUUACCCCUUACCGUACCCCUAUCCGUAUCCGGGUUAUACUUACUUCGGAUAAGAAAGUGGAUGAAUGCCAGCCAUUUUUAAGUUAUCAAUGGAUUAUUACUUUUACACUGUCAGAUUACAAUAAAUGUAUUUAAAAUAUU